rnacentral:rRNA from 1 species
UACAGAGGUCCCAAGCGUUGUUCGGAUUCACUGGGCGUAAAGGGUGCGCAGGUGGGUUGGCAAGUUUGAUGUGAAAGCCCCGGGCUUAACCCGGGAAUGGCAUUGAAUACUAUCUUGCUAGAGGAGUGGAGGGGGGACUGGAAUACUUGGUGUAGCAGUGAAAUGCGUAGAUAUCAAGUGGAACACCAGUGGCGAAGGCGAGUCCCUGGACACUUCCUGACACUGAGGCACGAAAGCUAGGGGAGCAAACAGG